UACCAGCUCUCCGAGUGGUGUGGAUGUUUAUUGGGCCUAAAGCAUCCGUAGCUGGCUGGGCAAGUCCCCUGUUAAAUCCACCGAUUUAAUCGUUGGUGUGCGGGGGAUACUGUUCGGCUAGGGGACGGGAGAGGCCGACGGUAUUUUCGGGGUAGGGGUGAAAUCCUAUAAUCCCGGGAAGACCACCAGUGGCGAAGGCUGUCGGCUAGAACGCGCCCGACGGUGAGGGAUGAAAGCUGGGGGAGCGAACCGGAUUAGAUACCCGGGUAGUCCCAGCUGUAAACGAUGCAGGCUAGGUGUUUGGGCGGCCACGUGCCGCUCUAGUGCCGCAGAGAAGUCGUUAAGCCUGCCGCCCGGGGAGUACGGCCGCAAGGCUGAAACUUAAAGGAAUUGGCGGGGGAGCACCACAAGGGUGAAGCUUGCGGUUU
rnacentral:rRNA from 1 species